rnacentral:lncRNA from 1 species
UGCAUUAAUGUUGUAAGAAGUUGACAAAAGAUAAGACAAAGGUUGUUUUAGCAGGCUUUGAUGUCCUUUUUUUUUACCAUGUAGGCAUUGUUUGGAAUUAUCUCUUUGCCUGGUUGCUCUUGACAGGGUAUUUGUUUUCAAUGGUUUUUUUUUUUUUAAACAUGCAGACAACUUCACUUCAAAAAGAAAGAAAGAAGCUGAUAAUGAUUUCUCUUGAUCUGUUUUGCAGCCAUGUUUGCCUGUUUUUUUCCUUACAAGAUCUCAAUCUUUCCUACAUUCUUUACAUUCCAUUUAUGAUAAUCAG